rnacentral:pre_miRNA from 1 species
CAAAUAUUCCCUCCGUCCGGAAAUACUUGUCAUCAAAAUGGAUAAAAGGAAAUGUAUCUAGACAUAAUUUAGUUUUAGAUACAUCUCUUUUUAUCCAUUUUGAUGACAAGUAUUUUUGGACGGAGGGAGUAGAAA